rnacentral:rRNA from 1 species
AACGAACGCUGGCGGCGUGGAUAAGACAUGCAAGUCGAACGCUUGUUUUCCUGUAGCAAUAUAGGGAGGCAGGAGUGGCGCAAGGGUGCGUAACACGUGGAUCAUCUGCCUGGAAGUUCGGAAUAAUUCCGCGAAAGCGGGACUAAUGCCGGAUGUGGAUGGAAGUCUAAAGCUGGGGACCGCAAGGCCUGGCGCUUCCAGAUGAGUCCGCGGCCUAUCAGCUAGUUGGCGGGGUAACGG